AACGAACGCUGGCGGCAUGCCUAACACAUGCAAGUCGAACGAGACCUUCGGGUCUAGUGGCGCACGGGUGCGUAACGCGUGGGAAUCUGCCCUUGGGUUCGGAAUAACAGUUGGAACGACUGCUAAUACCGGAUGAUGACGUAAGUCCAAAGAUUUAUCGCCCAAGGAUGAGCCCGCGUAGGAUUAGCUAGUUGGUGAGGUAAAGGCUCACCAAGGCGACGAUCCUUAGCUGGUCUGAGAGGAUGAUCAGCCACACUGGGACUGAGACACGGCCCAGACUCCUACGGGAGGCAGCAGUGGGGAAUAUUGGACAAUGGGCGAAAGCCUGAUCCAGCAAUGCCGCGUGAGUGAUGAAGGCCUUAGGGUUGUAAAGCUCUUUUACCCGGGAUGAUAAUGACAGUACCGGGAGAAUAAGCUCCGGCUAACUCCGUG
rnacentral:rRNA from 1 species